rnacentral:tRNA from 1 species
GCCGAAGUGGUGGAACGGCAGACACGCAGCGUUCAGGGCGCUGUGAGCAUUAGCUCGUGUGGGUUCAAAUCCCACCUUCGGCACCA